AUUUUGCACAAUCGACGCAAGUCGGAUGCAGCAACGCCGCGUGCGGGAAGAAGGCCCUCGGGUUGUAAACCGCUUUUGUGGGGGAAGAAGAUCUGACGGUACCCCACGAAUAAGUCACGGCUAACUACGUGCCAGCAGCCGCGGUAAUACGUAGGUGGCGAACGUUGUCCGGAUUCACUGGGCGUAAAGCGCGCGCAGGCGGAUUGGUCAGUCCGAGGUUAAAGCUCCCGGCUCAACUGGGAGAGGCCCUUGGAUACUGCCAGUCUUGAGGUACCUAGGGGAGAGUGGAAUUCCCGGUGUAGUGGUGGAAUGCGUAGAUAUCGGGAGGAACACCAGUGGCGAAGGCGACUCUCUGGGGGUGACCUGACGCUGAGGCGCGAAAGCAUGGGGAGCAAACCGG
rnacentral:rRNA from 1 species